AGAUUCACUUCGGUGAUGACGCUGGGAACGCGAGCGGCGGAUGGGUGAGUAACACGUGGGUAACCUGCCCUAAAGUCUGGGAUACCACUUGGAAACAGGUGCUAAUACCGGAUAACAACAAUAGCUGCAUGGCUAUUGCUUAAAAGGCGGCGAAAGCUGUCGCUAAAGGAUGGACCCGCGGUGCAUUAGCUAGUUGGUAAGGUAAUGGCUUACCAAGGCGACGAUGCAUAGCCGAGUUGAGAGACUGAUCGGCCACAUUGGGACUGAGACACGGCCCAAACUCCUACGGGAGGCAGCAGUAGGGAAUCUUCCACAAUGGGCGAAAGCCUGAUGGAGCAACGCCGCGUGAGUGAAGAAGGUUUUCGGAUCGUAAAGCUCUGUUGUUGGUGAAGAAGGAUAGAGGUAGUAACUGGCCCCUAUUUGACGGUAAUCAACCAGAAAGUCACGGCUAACUACGUGCCAGCAGCCGCGGUAAUACGUAGGUGGCAAGCGUUGUCCGGAUUUAUUGGGCGUAAAGCGAGCGCAGGCGGAAAGAUAAGUCUGAUGUGAAAGCCCCCGGCUUAACCGAGGAAUUGCAUCGGAAACUGUGUUUCUUGAGUGCAGAAGAGGAGAGUGGAACUCCAUGUGUAGCGGUGGAAUGCGUAGAUAUAUGGAAGAACACCAGUGGCGAAGGCGGCUCUCUGGUCUGUAACUGACGCUGAGGCUCGAAAGCAUGGGUAGCG
rnacentral:rRNA from 1 species